GUCCUCUGUUUCGGCAAUACAUAUAGUAAAAUUGGAACGAUACAGAAAAGAUUAGCAUGGCCCCUGCACAAGGAUGACACGCAAACUCAUGAAGCGUUCCAUAUAAAA